rnacentral:rRNA from 1 species
AGAGUUUGAUCAUGGCUCAGAUUGAACGCUGGCGGUAUGCUUAACACAUGCAAGUCGAACGGUAACAGUCCCUCACCUAGAAAUUUCUUAAAAAGAGAUUUGUAGGUGAGGGAGCUGACGAGUGGCGGACGGGUGCGUAAUGUAUAGGAAUCUGCCUAGUAGUGGGGGACAACUCGGAGAAAUUCGAGCUAAUACCGCAUAAGCCCUACGGGGGAAAACGGGGGAUCUUCGGACCUCGUGCUAUUAGAUGAGCCUAUAUUAGAUUAGCUUGUUGGUGAGGUAAUGGCUCACCAAGGCGACGAUCUAUAGCUGGUCUGAGAGGAUGAUCAGCCACACUGGGACUGAGACACGGCCCAGACUCCUACGGGAGGCAGCAGUGGGGAAUAUUGGACAAUGGGCGAAAGCCUGAUCCAGCAAUACCGCGUGUGUGAAGAAGGCCUGAGGGUUGUAAAGCACUUUCAAUUGGGAGGAAUACCUAAUAGUUAAUAGCUAUUAGAUUGACA